rnacentral:rRNA from 1 species
UACGUAGGUCCCGAGCGUUGUCCGGAUUUAUUGGGCGUAAAGCGAGCGUAGGUGGUUUAUUAAGUCUGGUGUAAAAGGCAGUGGCUCAACCAUUGUAUGCAUUGGAAACUGGUAGUCUUGAGUGCAGGAGAGGAGAGUGGAAUUCCAUGUGUAGCGGUGAAAUGCGUAGAUAUAUGGAGGAACACCGGUGGCGAAAGCGGCUCUCUGGCCUGUAACUGACACUGAGGCUCGAAAGCGUGGGGAGCAAACAGG